rnacentral:misc_RNA from 1 species
AUGGCGACGCCCAGUGAGCUGUCUCUCGAGGAGAUUCGCAAGUAUUUAUUGGAAAACGGUGGUACGGCUCGCAAUCACGACGUGGUGAAGCACUUCAAGAGAUUCCUAACGGAUCCGGAAACACGAGUCGAGGCACGAAAUCGGUUCAAGGAGUACGUAAACACCCUGGCUGCUAUAAAGAACGAAGAGGGAGAAAAAUAUUUGGUUCUGAAGAAGAAGUAUCGUCAAAACCUCGUGGAACUGUCGACUCCGGAGCAGUGCUCGUCACCGAUCGGCACUCCCGACAUAUCUACCCCGGUUUCUCCUUUACGAGUUCCACCACCUUACCGACCACCGCCUCCCGCGCCCCUCAGCCCGCCGGCGAAUAACACAAACACUCACCGCGAGGAGUCGUGUUCGAAUUUCGUCCGCGAGGAGGCCGCUAUCAAUGCGCGGAAAAAUGGCGUUGAUCGUGUCGAGACCGGAUUUUCAACGUCGUCUCCUCCUGUACCGCCACGCCGUAAAAGUCAAGAUAAGAUCAAGAUCGAGAAUAAGGAGAACGUGGACAGGAAUAGGGGAGGAUCGGAGGCAGUUAUCAAGGAAGAUGAGGCUGUCGCGACGAAUCCGGGCUCAACCGAGCAAUUAAGCUUCCGCGAGCGGAUGCAACGUUUCAACCGGAUGGCUAGCGAAACCGAUCUCCAAGGCAGGCCUAACGGCACUAUCACACCUACUAAAAAGCGAUCUGACAAGGGCGCCGACGAGGAUGACAGCGCUUCCGUUGCCUCGCAACUGGACGGGAAGUCACGGGAGUGGUUGGUGAGAGCUGCGCAAGGGGAUUAUCAGGCAUUGGCGAAACUGGCCGCGGAAGAACCUCGCCUCACCCGGCUCAAGGAUCCAACGUCGUACACGGCGUUGCACUGGGCGGCCAAGCACGGCGACGAGAACAUCGUGAAGCUCAUCGCGGGCAAAUACAAGAAUUACAUCAAGAGCAUCAACGAGACUUCGAACGGGGGAUACACGCCGCUGCACAUCGCCAUGCAGUUCGAUCACGAGAAUAUCUUCAAUCUGUUGGUCCAGGUGUACGGUGCGAAUCAAGAGGUGCGGGAUUAUAGCGGGAAGAAGGCCAGACAAUACUUGGUCUCCCAGGAGGCGGCCGUCAGUCAGGACACCUUCCGCAGGAUUACUGCUGCCGCUACGCUCAGAAAUAAAAGCAAGGAAAAAGCAUGCAGAGAAAGAUCUUGGUUUCCUGCGUAUUGGCUCGCUGAACGUACGCGUGAAACGUACGACGGAAGCGUUCAGCCAGUUCCUGGGUGUGGCAACUAGCAGCGCCAGCAGCAACCACGAGAAGAUACACAAGAGCUGGGGAUCGGCGGAUAAUGUGCAGUUGGAGCAGAAGAUGAUGCCACCGCCAAAGUACGCGCCUAUCAAGAAGAGGAGGAGUCGACGAGCACAGGAUUUCGG